rnacentral:rRNA from 1 species
UUGCCUACGGGGGGCAGCAGUAGGGAAUCUUCCACAAUGGGCGAAAGCCUGAUGGAGCAACGCCGCGUGGGUGAAGAAGGUCUUCGGAUCGUAAAACCCUGUUGUUAGAGAAGAAAGUGCGUGUGAGUAACUGUUCACGUUUCGACGGUAUCUAACCAGAAAGCCACGGCUAACUACGUGCCAGCAGCCGCGGUAAUACGUAGGGGGCAAGCGUUGUCCGGAAUUAUUGGGCGUAAAGAGUACGUAGGCGGUCUGUUAAGCGCAAGGUGAAAGGCAUAGGCUCAACCAAUGUGAG